UGGGGAAUAUUGGGCAAUGGGCGCAAGCCUGACCCAGCAACGCCGCGUGAAGGAAGAAGGCCCUCGGGUUGUAAACUUCUUUUAUUCGGGACGAAGGAAGUGACGGUACCGAAUGAAUAAGCCACGGCUAACUACGUGCCAGCAGCCGCGGUAAUACGUAGGUGGCAAGCGUUAUCCGGAUUUACUGGGUGUAAAGGGCGUGUAGGCGGGAUGGUAAGUCAGAUGUGAAAACUCAGGGCUCAACCCUGAGCCUGCAUUUGAAACUAUCGUUCUUGAGUGAUGGAGAGGCAGGCGGAAUUCCGUGUGUAGCGGUGAAAAUGCGUAGAUAUACGGAGGAACACCAGUGGCGAAGGCGGCCUGCUGGACAUUAACUGACGCUGAGGCGCGAAAGCGUGGGGAGCAAACAGGAUUAGAUACC
rnacentral:rRNA from 1 species